GAGUAAAGUCAGACAGAGAAAAGAGAGAAAGAGAGGGAGAGAGGGAGAGGUGGGUUAUACUGAGUUAAACCGGGUUAUUUUUUCCUCCUUCCCCCCAAAUAGCCCUGUGAUGUCACACUGUAUAACGGCGGCCAUUUUGAGGACACGGUGUCACUGUGUCUGUGCGCCGUUACGGAGAUUUUGCUUUAUUUAGAACAUCAGGACUGCAUCUGUUUCUUUUUUCUGCUGACUCAGCAGUACAGGCGGUGCAGGGAGUCGGGCUCCAGCCCAGCGUUUCCACAGUUCGGUGUUGAAUUCGCUGAAACGUUGUGAUCUCAGCCAGCGGAAAUGGAGCAGUAUGAGUAUUGAUUAAAAGCAAUGCUGCAUUGGCUCAGAUCACUGAUCCUCAUCUCCUAUUGAGGGACUGAGGGACUGAGGGACUUUUAUCAGGUUCAUGAUAAAACCUUUAACUCACUGAAUAAAACCAAAAAAAAAGGAAAAAGGUUGAAGGUUUCUGAGUUUCCAGUUUGUUGUUUGGUUGUAGGUCGAACCUUUACAAUGUUCAGCUUUGGCUUUGUAAAAAAAAAAUUAUAAUAAUAAUCUAGUGGAACUUCUUCCCAGAAGAAUGGAGGUUAUUACAACAGCAAAUGGGGAUUAAAUGUGGAAUCAGGUGGUGCAUAAAGCGUAUCCCGAUCUGAUGCUCAGGGAUCUAUUACAGGAAAUGUUUAAAUAAAUAAGUUAGGUCGAUUUGUAGAAAACUUUGAUGUUUCCAAGUUUCAAAUGAAGUUUCCAUCAUUACUAAUUAGAACCAAGUUCUGAGAGGAAAACUUGAGGGACCAUUUCUAUAUACUAAUUAGCAUACUAUGUAGCACUAUGAGAAAUCCAGAUUUUUAUUGUGGUAUUUUUUAUACUUUUUAUAACUGUACUAUGACUUUCAUACUACAGUGACAUAGUAAUUAGUAUGGUAGUAUAAAGUCUAUUAUAUUAUUAUAUACUUUUUAGUA